rnacentral:rRNA from 1 species
AUUGAACGCUGGCGGCAGGCUUAACACAUGCAAGUCGAGCGGAAACGAUGAUAGCUUGCUAUCAGGCGUCGAGCGGCGGACGGGUGAGUAAUACUUAGGAAUCUACCUAGUAGUGGGGGAUAGCACGGGGAAACUCGUAUUAAUACCGCAUACGACCUACGGGAGAAAGGGGGCAGUUUACUGCUCUCGCUAUUAGAUGAGCCUAAGUCGGAUUAGCUAGAUGGUGGGGUAAAGGCCUACCAUGGCGACGAUCUGUAGCUGGUCUGAGAGGAUGAUCAGCCACACCGGGACUGAGACACGGCCCGGACUCCUACGGGAGGCAGCAGUGGGGAAUAUUGGACAAUGGGGGAAACCCUGAUCCAGCCAUGCCGCGUGUGUGAAGAAGGCCUUUUGGUUGUAAAGCACUUUAAGCAGUGAAGAAGACUCCGUGGUUAAUACCCACGGACGAUGACAUUAGCUGCAGAAUAAGCACCGGCUAACUCUGUGCCAGCAGCCGCGGUAAUACAGAGGGUGCAAGCGUUAAUCGGAAUUACUGGGCGUAAAGGGAGCGUAGGUGGCUCUAUAAGUCAGAUGUGAAAUCCCCGGGCUUAACCUGGGAACUGCAUCUGAAACUGUAGAGCUAGAGUAUGUGAGAGGAAGGUAGAAUUCCAGGUGUAGCGGUGAAAUGCGUAGAGAUCUGGAGGAAUACCGAUGGCGAAGGCAGCCUUCUGGCAUAAUACUGACACUGAGGCUCGAAAGCGUGGGUAGCAAACAGGAUUAGAUACCCUGGUAGUCCACGCCGUAAACGAUGUCUACUAGUCGUUGGGUCCCUUGAGGACUUAGUGACGCAGCUAACGCAAUAAGUAGACCGCCUGGGGAGUACGGCCGCAAGGUUAAAACUCAAAUGAAUUGACGGGGGCCCGCACAAGCGGUGGAGCAUGUGGUUUAAUUCGAUGCAACGCGAAGAACCUUACCUGGUCUUGACAUAUCUAGAAUCCUGCAGAGAUGCGGGAGUGCCUUCGGGAAUUAGAAUACAGGUGCUGCAUGGCUGUCGUCAGCUCGUGUCGUGAGAUGUUGGGUUAAGUCCCGCAACGAGCGCAACCCUUGUCCUUAGUUACCAGCGGGUUAAGCCGAGAACUCUAAGGAUACUGCCAGUGACAAACUGGAGGAAGGCGGGGACGACGUCAAGUCAUCAUGGCCCUUACGACCAGGGCUACACACGUGCUACAAUGGUAGGUACAGAGGGCAGCUACACAGCGAUGUGAUGCGAAUCUCAAAAAGCCUAUCGUAGUCCAGAUUGGAGUCUGCAACUCGACUCCAUGAAGUAGGAAUCGCUAGUAAUCGCGGAUCAGAAUGCCGCGGUGAAUACGUUCCCGGGCCU